CCCGGACGGGAUGGUUCACCGUCGGACGAAGAAGAAAGACUUUGUGCCCAAGUUUUGAACGGUUCACAAAGCAAGAACCACCCCGGACGGGGUGGUUCACCGUCGAAGGAAGAAGAAAGACUUUGUGCCCAAGUUUUGAACGGUUCACAAAGCAAGAACCACCCCGGACGGGGUGGUUCAACAGUGGAGGAAGAAGACAGACUUUGUGACCAGUUUUUGAACAUUUCAC